AACGCGAAGAACCUUACCUACUCUUGACAUCCAGAGAACUUAGCAGAGAUGCUUUGGUGCCUUCGGGAACUCUGAGACAGGUGCCGCAUGGCUGUCGUCAGCUCGUGUUGUGAAAUGUUGGGUUAAGUCCCGCAACGAGCGCAACCCUUAUCCUUUGUUGCCAGCGAUUCGGUCGGGAACUCAAAGGAGACUGCCAGUGAUAAACUGGAGGAAGGUGGGGAUGACGUCAAGUCAUCAUGGCCCUUACGAGUAGGGCUACACACGUGCUACAAUGGCGUAUACAAAGAGAAGCGACCUCGCGAGAGCAAGCGGACCUCAUAAAGUACGUCGUAGUCCGGAUUGGAGUCUGCAACUCGACUCCAUGAAGUCGGAAUCGCUAGUAAUCGUAGAUCAGAAUGCUACGGUGAAUACGUUCCCGGGCCUUGUACACACCG
rnacentral:rRNA from 1 species